GACGAACGCUGGCGGCGCGCUUAACACAUGCAAGUCGAGCGAGAACCAGUCCUUCGGGACUGGGGACAGCGGCGAACGGGUGAGUAACACGUGGGUAGUCUGCCCUCGGCACCGGAAUAGCCCGGGGAAACCCGGAUUAAUACCGGAUGGCCUUCCGAGCCCUCGGGCGCGGAAGAAAAGGUAGCUUCGGCCUCCGACCGAGGACGGGCCCGCGGCCGAUUAGCUUGUUGGCGGGGUAACGGCCCACCAAGGCGACGAUCGGUAGCUGGUCUGAGAGGACGAUCAGCCACACUGGGACUGAGACACGGCCCAGACUCCUACGGGAGGCAGCAGUGGGGAAUAUUGGACAAUGGGCGCAAGCCUGAUCCAGCAAUGCCGCGUGUGUGAAGAAGGCCUGCGGGUUGUAAAGCACUUUAAGCAGGAAAGAAGGCUUCGGAGCUAAUACCUUCGAAGAUUGACGUUACCUGCAGAAUAAGCACCGGCUAACUCCGUGCCAGCAGCCGCCGUAAUAC
rnacentral:rRNA from 1 species